rnacentral:rRNA from 1 species
CGCAAGCCUGACGGAGCAAGACCGCGUGAGGGAGGAAUGCCUUAGGGUUGUAAACCCCUUUUAUCUGGGAAGAACAAAAUGACGGUACCAGAUGAAUAAGCCUCGGCUAACUCCGUGCCAGCAGCCGCGGUAAUACGGGGGAUGCAAGCGUUAUCCGGAAUUAUUGGGCGUAAAGCGUUCGUAGGCGGUUUUAUAAGUCUGCUGUCAAAGUGCGGAGCUCAACUCCGUAAGAGCAGUGGAAACUGUGAGACUUGAGUGUGGUAGGGGUAGAGGGAAUUCCCAGUGUAGCGGUGAAAUGCGUAGAUAUUGGGAAGAACACCAGUGGCGAAGGCGCUCUACUGGGCCACAACUGACGCUGAGGGACGAAAGCUAGGGGAGCG